AGCAGCCGCGGUAAUUCCAGCUCCAAUAGCGUAUAUUAAAGUUGUUGCAGUUAAAAAGCUCGUAGUUGAAUUUCGGGGUCAGUAGGUCGGUCGUGCCUACGGUAUGUACUGGUCUCACUGGUUCCUCCUUCUUGAAGAACCGUAAUGUCAUUAACUUGGUGUUGCGGGGAACCAGGACUGUUACUUUGAAAAAAUUAGAGUGUUUAAAGCAGGCCAUCGCCUGAAUACAUUAGCAUGGAAUAAUGAAAUAGGACGUUCGAUCCUAUUUUGUUGGUUUCUAGGAUUGACGUAAUGAUUAAUAGGGAUAGUUGGGGGCAUUAGUAUUCAAUUGUCAGAGGUGAAAUUCUUGGAUUUAUUGAAGACUAACUACUGCGAAAGCAUUUGCCAGGGAUGUUUUCAUUAAUCAAGAACGAAAGUUAGGGGAUCGAAGACGAUCAGAUACCGUCGUAGUCUUAACCAUAAACUAUGCCGACUAGGGAUCGGAUGAUGCUAAUUUUUUAAUGUACUCAUUCGGCGCCUU
rnacentral:rRNA from 1 species